rnacentral:rRNA from 1 species
UACGUAGGGUGCAAGCGUUGUCCGGAAUUAUUGGGCGUAAAGAGCUCGUAGGCGGUCUGUCGCGUCUGCUGUGAAAACUCAGGGCUUAACCCUGAGCUUGCAGUGGGUACGGGCAGACUAGAGUGCGGUAGGGAGACUGGAAUUCCGUGGUGAUAGCGGUGAAAUGCGGUAGAUAUCAGGAGGAACACCGGUGGUGUAGACGGCU